rnacentral:misc_RNA from 1 species
GAUGAAGAACGUAGCGAAAUGCGAUACGUAAUGUGAAUUGCAGAUUUCAGUGAAUCAUCGAAUCUUUGAACGCACAUUGCGCCCGCUAGUAUUCUGGCGGGCAUGCCUGUUCGAGCGUCAUUUCAACCAUCAAGCCCUAGGCUUGCGUUGGAGCCCUGCGGCUGCCGCAGGCUCCCAAAUCCAGUGGCGGGCUCGUCGUCGUACCGAGUGCAGUAAAAAUCCUCGCUCAGGGAACGUGACGGGUUCUUGCCGUGAAACCCCCCACAUAUCAAGGUUGACCUCGGAUCAGGUAGGAAUACCCGCUGAACUUAAGCAUAUCAAUAAGCGGAGGA